GUGAUGAAUAUAUUAACAUUGAUAAUAAUAAUAAUAAUAAUGAUAAUAGUAAUAAUAAUAAUAAUAAUAAGAAGAAGAAUGAAAAUAUAUCGAUAACAAAAAUUGAAGAAGAAAGAGAAGAAGAAAAAAAAAGAAAAUGAAGAAGAAGAAGAAGAAGAAGAAGAAGGAGAAGAAGAAGAAGAAGAAGAAGAAGAAGAAGAAGAAGAAGAAGAAGAAGAAGAAGAAGAAGAAAACCAAACAAAAUUAAGAGGUCAAGCAAGCUGUGUAAUAAAAAAGUAGGAAAAAAAGGAAAGGAGGAGGUGGGGAAGGAGGAGGAGGAGGAGGAGGAGGAGGAAGAAGAGGAGGAGGAGAAGGAGGAGGAGACACUUGUGGGCACUGAAGUGGGAGGAAGAGAUGAAAGGAGGCGAAGGAAAGGGGCUCGGAAGGGAGAGUAAGAGGAGGAGGAGUAGGAGGAUGUGAAGGUGGAGGAAAGAAGGAAGGGAGGUAGGAGGGAGGAGGGAAGGCGUGUCAGUGUUGAGUGAGGAGUCGUGGAGGGAAGUGCUCGCCCGCGAAGGAGAUUGGAGGAGACUUAACUCAUCUCCCUCCUCCUCCCCUUCCCCCUCCUCCACCCUCCUCCUUGCCUCCCUCCGCCUGUCAUUUGGAAAGCGUGUGUAUGGAGGGAAUCGCGGUCAAGUUAUUGCUGGAGGUGAAAGCUAAUACUCGGAGGUCAUACUCGGAGUGCUUAGGUCAUCCUCGAAGUGCUUAGGUCAUCCUCGGAGUGGUGAGCUCGCCCUUGAAUGCAUAUGGAGGCUGGAAAGUCGUCUAUGAAUUUGUGAUGUCGGACUGUUGAGUGUCAUUAAGUCCUUCCCCAAGUGCUUAGGUCAUCCUCGGAGUGCUUAGGUCAUCCUCGAAGUGGUGAUCUCGCCCUUGAAUGCAUCUGGAGGCUGGAAAGUCGUCUAUGAAUUUGUGACGUCGGACUUGAACUUUUGAGUGUCAUUAAGUCCUCCCCCAAGAGCUUAGGCCCUCCCCAAGUGAUUAGGUCAUCCUCGAAGUGGUGAGCUCGCCCUUGGGUGGUUCUGGAGGUUGGAAAAGCAUUUGUGAAGUAUUGAGGUUGGUCUUGAGACGCUGAGUGUUAGUAGGUUCUCCUCCAAGUGCUUACGUGAUCCUCGAAGUGGCUAGCUCGUUCUUAAAGCGUCCUCGAGGCUGGAAAGAGGUUUAUAAAGUUGUAUGGUCGGCCUUGAAGCGUUUACCUCGUCCUUGAACCCCUUACGUCACCUUCGAAGUGAUUUGGUUGUUACUGAAGGAUCUAAGUUGUCCUUCAAGGUGCCAGGUCGUCUUCAAAGCGUUCAGGUCAUCCUCGAACAGCAUUAAGUCGUCCUUGCUGUGCUUAAGUUGGUCUCGAAGUGCUACCCAAGUGAACCUGGAAACUAUUUGCUUGUUCUCGAGGACUUGUUCUGUUUCGAAGUUCCUGUUCCGUCCUCCGUGUGUGGUUCUCAAGAGUUCCUACAAGUCGUCCUCGAAGUGCUUCUAACCCGUCUUCCAAGGAUCAGGUCGUCUUUAAGUGUCUCAGAAGUCAUCCUCGAUCCUGUCAUCUCUUCGUCAUGUUAUUUUAGGUCACCCUCGGAAAAACGUCAUACUGCAAGGGUUAUCAAAAGUUACUCCUUGGAAUCAUCUCUCCUUCCACGUGUAAAGAUAAAUAGAUAGAUAGAUAAAUGACAGCUAUACUAAGAAGACUCAAACAUCGAAACAAUAGAUGAUUCAAGACCCUAACAAGAACAAAAACAAAUGAAGAUCGUUAAGUAAGAUACGUGAGGACUGUUACCAAAAAAAAACAAAUGACAAUCGCUACAUCGAGCAAGACAAUAACAAGAUCGAACAAAAACGAAUGAAGAUCGCUCGCAACAAUAGACGAAGUGAAUGUUGUGACGCAAAAAAGUGAUAGUAACAAGGUGACAAUUGAGGAUCAUUAGAAAAGGAAAUUAAGACCACAAUAAAAAGAUAAUUGAGAAGAGUAACCGAAAAAGUAGCCAAGGAAAAUAUUAAUAAAAGUAAACAUGGACAUUGAAGUCAAAGAAAGAUGAACAUUGCAUCAAAAAGAUAAAAAUGAAAAUAGCAAAUAAAAAUAUAUAAAACAGAAAACAGGCAAAAAUUUCUACAGACAGACAAAUAGAAAAAAGUUAUUGAUAAAGAAAGGAUUGCAAUAAAAAUAGAAGAUAAAGUUAUUAAUAAAUAAAGAAAGAAAGAUUGCAAUAAAAGGUUGAAUAGAAAAAAAGGUAGAGGAAAACUUGAAUGCAAAUAAAGAAUAGAAGAAAAAAAACAUAACAAACACUAAAAAAAAGAAAAGAAGACAGAGCCAUACAUAGAGACAAAAAGA